rnacentral:rRNA from 1 species
UACGUAGGGGGCAAGCGUUGUCCGGAAUCAUUGGGCGUAAAGAGCGUGUAGGCGGUCCGGUAAGUCGGCUGUGAAAGUCCAGGGCUCAACCCUGGGAUGCCGGUCGAUACUGCCGGACUAGAGUUCGGAAGAGGCGAGUGGAAUUCCCGGUGUAGCGGUGAAAUGCGCAGAUAUCAGGAGGAACACCGGUGGCGAAGGCGGGUCUCUGGGCCGAUAUUGACGCUGGAGGAGCGAAAGCGUGGGGAGCGAACAGG